rnacentral:rRNA from 1 species
UACUUGAUCUUGAUUAUCCUACUCGGAUAACUGUGGCAAUUCUAGAGCUAAUACACGCAAGAAAGCUCCGACCUUACGGGACGAGCGCAUUUAUUAGACCAAAACCAAUCGGGCUUCGGCCUGAGCGGUGGUGACUCUGAAUAACUAAGCUGAUCGCAUGGUCUUUGUACCGGCGACGCAUCUUUCAAGUGUCUGCCUUAUCAACUUUCGAUGGUAGUUUAUGUGCCUACCAUGGUUGUUACGGGUAACGGAGAAUAAGGGUUCGACUCCGGAGAGGGAGCCUGAGAAAACGGCUACCACAUCCAAGGAAGGCAGCAGGCGCGCAAAUUACCCACUCUCGGCACGAGGAGGUAGUGACGAAAAAAUAAACGAGGCGGUUCUGUCAGAGGCCCGCCAUCGGAAUGGG